rnacentral:rRNA from 1 species
GACGUAGGGCGCGAGCGUUGUCCGGAUUUAUUGGGCGUAAAGAGCUCGUAGGCGGCUUGUCGCGUCGGCUGUGAAAACCCGCGGCUCAACCCUGGACCUGCAUUCGAUACGGGCAGACUAGAGUUCGGUAGGGGAGACUGGAAUUCCUGGUGUAGCGGUGAAAUGCGCAGAUAUCAGGAGGAACACCGGUGGCGAAGGCGGGUCUCUGGGCCGAAACUGACGCUGAGGAGCGAAAGCCAGGGGAGCAAACGGG